rnacentral:rRNA from 1 species
CCAAUAGCGUAUAUUAAAGUUGUUGCAGUUAAAAAGCUCGUAGUUGAACUUCGGGAUCAAUGGAUUGGUCAUGCCGUUGGUAUGUACUGGUCAUAUUGGUUCUCACCUUCUAAGGAACCAUAAUGUCAUUCAUUUGAUGUUUUGGGGAAUUAGGACUGUUACCUUGAAAAAAUUAGAGUGUUUAAAGCAGGCUAACGCUUGAAUACAUUAGCAUGGAAUAAUGAAAUAGGACAUCGCAUUCUAUUUUGUUGGUUUCUAGGAUCGAUGUAAUGAUUAAUAGGGAUAGUUGGGGGCAUUAGUAUUCAAUUGUCAGAGGUGAAAUUAUUGGAUUUAUUGAAGACUAACUACUGCGAAAGCAUUUGCCAAGGAUGUUUUCAUUAAUCAAGAACGAAAGUUAGGGGAUCGAAGACGAUCAGAUACCGUCGUAGUCUUAACCAUAAACUAUGCCGACUAGGGAUCGGAUGAUGUUGAUUUUUUAAUGACUCAUUCGGCACCUUACG